UGGAGACUAGGAUUCAGAGCAGUUAAAUAACCUGCCCGAGGUCCCCCAAGGACCUAAUUCACACUAAUUACAGAUGACAUAUAAGAUACUUCUUGGCCAGUGACGCCUUACUGCCUCUCGACUCCAAAUCCACCCUUCGCUGUCCUGCCUGUGACCCUCGCCAGCGGGCCCCACUUAAGCUUCGUCAGUGGAGGAGCUGGCAGGACACUGGAAGAGGGAUGGGCGUAAUUGACCUCGUACUGCUCAAGUGCCUGUUUCCGCUCGAGCUCGAGCUGCUGCAGCUGCUCCAAGGCUUCCUGGAGGGCCUGCUCUUUGAUGACGCGCUGGUUCUCCAGCUCCUGCUUUUCCGCUUCCGUGGUCUGAAUGGCCUGCUGCUGCUCCAGAUGCCACUUCUCCAGCUCGGCCCUCUUGGACGACUCUUCCUCCAGCAGCCUGCAAUACAGAGAGCUCAGGGUGACUGCACCCGACCCAGAAGAUGACAAAGCACAGCGGAGCCUUAGAGGAGCUGGGAGGUCAUCCAACCACCUCUCUUCUCACAAGAAGGAAGCCAGGAGCCAGAGAGGCCCAGAUUUGUGGAAACCUAUUACCAAGGGAAAAGCUGGCACACCAACAAAGGCAAAGGAGGAGGAGCUGACAAAAGCCAGAGGAAGCUGACACCAGCUACUGACCGAGCACAGGCUACCUAUCAGAGGACAUCCCAGGUUAAGCAGAUAUUUAAUAAAUAAACUAACUUGUACCCCAAGUAUAGACAACGUGGUUAGACGCCAGCCCAGGACAGGACGCAUGUCUACUGGCUUGAUCGUCAGAAUUACGUAACAAACCUCACAGCAGGCCAGUUACUGCUGCCUAAGAGCAUUUGCACGUCUAAAGCCAACAGCAGCAGAAAUAAAGUGACAGACUCUACAGCCACUAUCUGACCACCCCAAUCCUGCACCACUGUAAGAAUUCCCUCAA